GGAGGGCUGACCGAGAGGCCUAUGGUGGCGGUCUUGAAAACCGCUGGGCGGUACCCAAUCCUGCCCCGGGGGUUCGAAUCCCUCGCCCUCCG
rnacentral:tRNA from 1 species